ensembl:lncRNA
AAAUAUGACAUUUUGAGAAACCUCAUGGUAAUUGUUCAGAAAAUCAUCACUUUCACAGGUUUUCCUCCUCGUUGUUCAAUGUAUUUUUAAAAAAGCACAAAUGCCACAUCUACAGUGGAUGCCCGAAGAAUAGCUAAGGCUAUAUUCUAGGGGAACCAUUAGGCCCUGCAUUUAUCAGUCUGGGUGCCGCACCAUUAAUCUUCCUUGGCAUUUCACAGCAACACCAGCUCUUGGCUCUCCCUGUGCAACACCAGGACGUCUCACAGCCACUUCCUCCUUUAAAGCACGUUUUAAAGAAGUGGGAAAAGUAGAAGUGGUUGCCCCAAAGAUGUGAUAUCUGGGUCUUGCUGUGGCAGGGAGCAGCGCCGCAGUUUCACCGGAUAGGCUGUGUUCACCUGUUCACUGCUUCUCUGCCACUGCUGCAUUUCUCAGAAGAAAACCCAUCAUUUUGAAACCUAUCCAUGAUGAUGAUAAAGCCGUGUGUCUUCAGGACAUGACUAGGAGCAGCUCCUUUGCCUCUGCAGAGGGACGAAGAGGAAGGACAGCAGCCAGCCAAAUGCAGCAAAGGACCAGAAGCAUCAGGAAUACCACUGGCAGGUCUUUGACUGAGAUUUGAUGUGAGAGCCAGAGACUGAAAGUGAUUCCUGCUUCCCAAGGUCUUCCUGGAUUAACUGUUCAGCAAGGCCCCUGUGAGCACCAUGACCAGCCUGUACCGAUGCCCCGUGGGGCUGUAUUGCACCAGCCAGCCUGGAAAAGAGCUGAUCUUCCUGAAGCUCCAUCCAUCAGCAGGGCUUAUACCUCUGGGGGCCUCCCACGCUGGCCCUGAUCCUCCAG